CAAAAAAAAAUCUGAUUAUUUGAAACUCAUCGAGGGGAAGGAAUUUUUCUCUAAACUCCUAGAAAAUAAAAAAAAAAGGGGAAUUAAAUGUUAAUUUUUUUUAAUUUUUAUUUUCCUUUUCAGUCGAGCUGUUCAGAGGAAGGAACGAGGAGUGAAUCUUCCGGAAUGUCUCUUGACAAGGAAUUUUUGGAACAGUUUAUUUUUUGUAAAUAGACCCAAAUUCCUAAACUAUUAUCUCUCCAGAGAGCCUCCUCCUCCCUGGUUAACUCACAUAAAAGAAGGCUUUUUAAGUUCCAAGGUAAAAUGAUAAUUCCAGAGAACUCUGGAGCUUGGAUUCCUGAAUUUGAUCAACCCCAGGGAAGUUGAAUUUCCAGCCCUGCUUGGUCCUUGCAGGGUGUCCCCACAUCACCCCCUGGAAUUAAGGUAAAAAAAUGAAAAAUUGUCCUCAAAUUAGCUCCUACUCAAAAUUUUUAUGCCUUUUAUUGCUGUUCUCACCCACCCCUGAGCCAGGAAUAAUUUUACUGCGUUUGACCUCACGAGAAGGGAAAAAGAACCCAAAAAUCUCCAAAAUUGUAUCAAAGUUCCGAGUUCUGCUCCAGUUCUCUUCCCUCUGCUAAUCCAAAUAUUUCUGGAAAAUUCCAUCCCAGCGAGGGAAAUUUGUGUUUUGCCCAGUUGGAUUUGCCUGCAGGGACGUGGCUGGUGAGGAUUUUACUUCUGGAAAAUAAAAAAAAAAAGAGAUUUUGGCCAAAGCUGUAUGAAAAGAAACAGUGAAUUUUUGGUGUAUCAGAAGGAGCAGUGAAUUUUUGGUGUAUCAGACGACACAGUGAAUUUUUGGUGUAUCAAAAGACACAGUGAAUUUUUGGUGUAUCAAAAGGCACAGUGAGUUUUUGGUGUAUGAAAAGAAACAGUGAAUUUUUGGUGUAUCAGAAGGAGCAGUGAAUUUUUGGUGUAUGAAAAGAAACAGUGAAUUUUUGGUGUAUGAAAAGAAACAGUGAAUUUUUGGUGUAUGAAAAGAAGCAGUGAAUUUUUGGUGUAUGAAAAGAAACAGUGAAUUUUUGGUGUAUGAAAAGACACAGUGAAUUUUUGGUGUAUGAAAAGACACAGUGAAUUUUUGGUGUAUCAAAAGGAGCAGUGAAUUUUUGGUGUAUCAGAAGACACAGUGAAUUUUUGGUGUAUGAAAAGACACAGUGAAUUUUUGGUGUAUCAGAAGACACAGUGAAUUUUUGGUGUUGGAA